rnacentral:rRNA from 1 species
CCUACGGGUGGCAGCAGUGAGGAAUAUUGGUCAAUGGUCGGGAGACUGAACCAGCCAAGCCGCGUGAGGGAGGAAGGUACAGAGUAUCGUAAACCUCUUUUGUCGGGGAGCAAGGCCCGCCACGUGUGGCGGGAAGGAGAGUACCCGAAGAAAAAGCAUCGGCUAACUCCGUGCCAGCAGCCGCGGUAAUACGGAGGAUGCGAGCGUUAUCCGGAUUUAUUGGGUUUAAAGGGUGCGUAGGCGGAAGGUUAAGUCAGCGGUCAAAUGUCGGUGCUCAACACCGGCCUGCCGUUGAAACUGGUCUUCUUGAGUGAGCGAGAAGUAUGCGGAAUGCGUGGUGUAGCGGUGAAAUGCAUAGAUAUCACGCAGAACUCCGAUUGCGAAGGCAGCAUACCGGCGCUCAACUGACGCUGAGGCACGAAAGCGUGGGGAUCGAACAGGAUUAGAUACCCCUGUAGUC